rnacentral:rRNA from 1 species
AACGAACGCUGGCGGCAGGCCUAACACAUGCAAGUCGAGCGAGACCUUCGGGUCUAGCGGCGGACGGGUGAGUAACGCGUGGGAACGUGCCCUUUGCUACGGAAUAGCCCCGGGAAACUGGGAGUAAUACCGUAUGUGCCCUUCGUGGGAAAGAUUUAUCGGCAAAGGAGCGGCCCGCGUUGGAUUAGGUAGUUGGUGGGGUAAUGGCCUACCAAGCCGACGAUCCAUAGCUGGUUUGAGAGGAUGAUCAGCCACACUGGGACUGAGACACGGCCCAGACUCCUACGGGAGGCAGCAGUGGGGAAUCUUAGACAAUGGGGGAAACCCUGAUCUAGCCAUGCCGCGUGAGCGAUGAAGGCCUUAGGGUUGUAAAGCUCUUUCAGGUGGGAAGAUAAUGACGGUACCACCAGAAGAAGCCCCGGCUAACUCCGUGCCAGCCGCCGCAGUAAUAC